UUGGGCAGCAGCCAUCUUAGGAGGUUGGGGGAGAGUGGAACCGCACCUUGGAGCAGAAGGUGCUGAGGUGUACCUAACAUGAUUUGGUGGAGUCCCUGGUGAACCGGAGGAGGCUCCUAAUCUGAUAGGCACAAAGGCGGUCCCUUCUUUAGCAAGGCAGCUAGUGAGCGAAAGAGCAGAAAGAAGAAGUGGCCACCACCCACAACCUCCCUCCCCCAUUCAAUAUCCCUCUCCCUCUCAUCCUCCCUCUCCCCCUCAGCAACCAUCCCCCAUUCAACCUCCCUUGCCCACUCAACCUCCCUCUCCCUCUCAACCUCUCUCUCCCCCUCAGCAACCAUCCCUCAUUCAACCUUCCUCUCCCCAUCAACCUCACGCCCCCAUUCAACGACCCUCUCCCCCUCAACCUCCCACCCCCAUUCAACCUCCCUCUUCCCCUCAACCUCCUGCCACCAUUCAACCUCCCUCUUCCCCUCAACCUCCCGCCCCCAAUCAACCUCCCUCUACCCCUCAACCUCCUGCCCCAUUCAAGUCCCUUCCCCCAUCCAAGAACCAACCCCCUAGUGGGGAAGAAGAGGAGGAGGAGUCUGGGCCUAUGGAGGAGUGGAAAUGCUGAGGUUGAAGUUUGCCAUGCGGACAUACCGCCAACAUCCCCCAGUGGUGAUGAAGAGGAGUAUUGCCCUAUGGAGGAGAAUGCUGAGGUUGGAGAUCCAAAUCCUCCAAUACUUUUGUCCCUGCGCAGGAUGGAGCAUCAUGUUAGAAGCAUCCUUGACAAAAUUUAUUUUUUGUUAAAUA